GAAGGGUCAGCAUGAGCAGGAAGUCUUCCGGAAACCACUCAUACCCCUUCAGAAAUACAUGCCUUUGGUUUUCUCCUUUCAUCCAUUAGCUCAUCGGGCUUCACGGAUGGGAUCCAGUUUUGAUUAUAGCUGCAUAGCUAUUUUGUACAUAUCUGGACACCCCAGAUAAUGGUAGUAAAGAAGUUCACUCAAACCUGCGCAGUCCAGAGGUCAGGUGACUGAAAUGCUGUUCAUCUGUGCAUCCUGAGUACCCAGAGCAGAUACUCAGUAUGUUCAGCAUCUAACAGGCUUCCUUGCUCCACCAGUUGUACUGUGGGAAAAUCGAUUUCUUCAAAAAAUAUGUAUUAUUAAUUAGCUACCCCUUCGCAGGUAUUGUGUCAAGCACUGGAGAAAUAAGAGUGAGCAAGAGAAGGAAAAAAAAAGAAAGAGUAAGCAAGAGAGGCAUGACCCUGUCUUCCUGGAGCUUGUGGCUCAUGAAGAGAGGCAACAAUGAAAUCAGAAAUUAUAAGAAGUUAUGAUAACAUCGUGACGUGGUUCCUGGCCUAGAAUCAGCCAGCACCGAGAAAAAGUCUAGAGAAGAUGACGCACUGGUGCAUGACCUUCCAGGCACAACUUCUUGAAAUGAUAUAUAUUCCCAUCAGGUGCUUCAGAGAAGCAAUGGCCUUUUUCUUGACCGGCAAUGUGCAUUUUGGUACCAGAUUAUCAGAUGGAAAAAUACAGACAUUUUCCAAGCCCUAAACACAGAGUGUGCCAUCUAUUAGUUUGGAUUUCUUCCUUAACUACCAUCACACUAAUAUGUGGUGGUUUUUCCAAGAAGAAAUCAAUCCAAAUCUAUCUUUGGCCUCAGAAUCUGGGAAGCCUGGGUUUUAUCACUGGCUGGUCACAGAUGCACUGAGAAUGGGUAAGUCACUUCCAUCUUUGUCUGAAUGUCUCCAUCUGGAAAAUGUAGAUUCUGACACUCACCAUCAGAUAAUGUUUGCAAAAUGUUUGAUGGUCCUUGCUG